rnacentral:lncRNA from 1 species
UAUUGAGAUAUUUUUGAGGAUUGUGAGAAUUGAGAAGAUGACGGCAAUCGGAGAAGUUGAGAACCCCGCCGUUGUGCAGCCAUCGACAGAGGCUGCCAAGGUUAAGGAGCAGGCUCCGGCGACGAAGAAGCCUGUUAAGGAGAAGAAACCUAGGGCUCCCAAAGAGAAGAAGCCUAAAUCUGCCAAGGCUGUUACUCAUCCUCCUUAUUUUCAGGUAUUUUUAUCAAUUCAUCGAUCUAUAUGGCUGUGCUUUUCAUUAUUAUUUUGCCGAUAUUCAUUUAACUUGCAAAUUUCAACUUGAUUAAGUUUUUGGUAUGGAAUUCUUGCAGAUGAUUAAGGAGGCUCUGUUGGCUCUGAACGAGAAAGGUGGAUCGAGUCCGUAUGCAAUUGCUAAAUACAUGGAAGACAAACACAAGGAUGAAUUACCAGCAAAUUUCAGGAAAAUUCUAGGUCUUCAAUUGAAGAAUUCUGCAGCAAAGGGGAAGCUAAUCAAAAUCAAGGCUUCAUACAAACUAUCUGAGGCUGGAAAGAAGGAGACUACAACAAAAACAUCUACCAAAAAGCUCCCCAAGGCCGAUUCUAAGAAGAAACCUAGAAGCACCAGGGCCACUGCAACUGCAGCGAAGAAAACAGAGGUGCCGAAGAAAGCAAAAGCGACGCCAAAACCGAAGAAGGUUGGAGCCAAGAGGACAAGGAAGUCCACUCCGGCGAAGGCAAAACAGCCAAAGUCUAUCAAGUCUC